rnacentral:lncRNA from 1 species
AUGGGGAGAGGGGGCAUCAGAAACAGAAGAGAGCCAGGAAAGGUGAAGAGAGAGAAAGAAGGCUCAGCUCAGCUGCAGGGGACUCAUGCGGAGAGUGAGGAGUGAAACACGCGCUGACAGCCUUGUCAGGAAAUAGCCUGCAACCGUCCCACACCCUGGUCUGUCAGUUCCAUCUCCCCAGGGGAGGAGCCCCGGUGAGUCACUGCUCCUGUCUGUCCCUUGGAUUUCACUCCCCACCCCCCAAACACACAGCUCUCCUCCAGAAAGGAAUUAAUUUCUGGCUAUUAUUUUCUUCACCUGGGGAAGUGCCAGGCAUUUUGGCAGCAUGAGAGGAGAGGAGAGAAGCAGGAAGAAGUCAGGGCUGCCUGGGCUGGGGCCACCUGUUGGGGAGUGGGGGGCGCUGGGUCACCCAGAGCACUGUGAUGCCUCUGAUUGAGCUGGUCUUCUAGGCAAAUAUGGCACCUAAGAAAGAAGUGGGCUUUUCUCUAACAGCAUGGGGCCUGGAACAGCAGUAGGUCACCUAGGACACACAGGGGCCCUGGAAGAAAGCUGGGCUCUUGUUUAAACUUAGUCCUCUGAGGGGGAGGCUUGGAGUCUGGAGGGAAUGGUUGGGGCAGCCUCACGUGUGGCAUGCAGAGUCUGUCUCUCUCAGCUUUGGAGGUCAGAAAUGAGUUUCCCUUUCCCCAGGCACACUCUGGACUUGCAUCCUUGCUCCUAGCUUCCCUCCUUUGGGUUUAGUCCUCACGUUCCAGGCCCAAUCCCGGCUCUCACCCGCGGAGCUUCCCCCAUCACCUUCAUAAGGUCAGGAAUCUGUGUCACGUUAUCUGAAGAAGGGCUAGUAAUCGGGCACUGGAAAAACUGUUCCAUGUUCCCAGAAGCUGUGUGACCUGGCCUGGCAAGAGGAAGACAAAUUAAUAACUGAUGAAAAGAAAAGAGUCUACAUGAUCUGAAUGAAUCCUGGGCUGGAGUCUUCAGGGACAUCUUUUCAUGUUUGGCCGUUUCUGGUUGGCUCUCAUCCAGCUGCUGCCUGCCUGCUGGACUCCAUGCCAACACUGAGCAGUAUUAUACCUGAUCGAAGAUCACAGGAAUACCCAACCCUUGGGUGAGAGGGAGGGUGGCAGCAUAGAGCCCAUUAUAUGUAUAUGUGGUAUUGUUAGAGUCGGCCUUCAAGCCACUUCGAGCCACAUCCUGGGGGGAGCUAUUCUAAGGGAACUGCAAGGUGGGGUUGGUCACAACUCUCCAUUCCUCCCCCACCACACUAACCCCUGCCCACCUGAGUCUUCACAAUAAGCCUCCGGAGCUCUUCACCAAACCUAAGGGCACCUGCAGCCUUUCCACUCCCUUCCCUGGCAUCCCCUCCCCUCACUCAGAUGUUGC